rnacentral:lncRNA from 1 species
GGCCAGUUUUGUGACCUCGGAGUGGGAGAAGAUCUGUGGAGAUGGCAGAGGUGGCCGAGGGGACGGCUGGAGGCGGCGAGGACACGAGGUACCCCAGGCACGCCCAGGGCAUGGUCGAGAAGCAGGAAGAAGCUUGGUUUGACUAAAGCAUCGGAAGGAGAAGAGCGGGAGCAAAGGCAGGGAAGGUGGGAGAGGGAACGGGAGGGCAGGGGGCCGGCCGCCGUCUCUGCACCUGAUGAGCUGGGGCGCCCUAGAAGGUGUGGGGGUUUCGAAAUGUGGCAAGUGAGGGGAGCAGUGGUGGGCUGAGGGCAAUUUAGGAGGGUGGGAAGAGUUUGGGAACCCCAUAGGUGGAAACGGUGAGAUGAAAUGAGCAAAAGAUGGCUAAUGUUAGGAGGCACCCGGAAGAGGCUACUGAGCAUCAAGUCUCGGAAACUGGCUUUUUCUUCAUUUCACAGUUAAAAUGAGGUUUGGCCAGCGACUCAGCACGCCAUGCUUCUUGCCUCUCCGCACUCCUGACCUCUCUGCUCACCCGUAGCAACAGCCCCUCCCUCCGCGGCACUAUCCCUUCCUCUCCCCCAGCCAGUCUUCCUUCCCUCUCAUCAGAUUCCACCCCCUGCUCCCUGGGCAGUUCUUUCCAGGGAGUCAAGGACCCGACGGUCCUGCAGUCCGCGGGGCUCCCCAAACGGAUCUGAAUAAACAGCCAGUUGUUUCUACCUUCCCACGCCUCUUCUAUUUCUUUCUGAA